AUUGUUUAGCCUCGCUGUAGCAUGAAGUGCUAAUCACUGCUUGUUGGUGUGAGCCACGACACCACCAGCCAUGACGCUUGGUGUGUUUGGCAUUGCUACCUGGUUGGUGUAUUGCUGUGAGUUUGGCUCAUAGAUCGACUAUAAGUUGUAAUUCUGAGGCUGGAUUUCCACCCGAGCAGAAACAAAGCGUUUAACAUCCAUCUGACGGGUGACUGAUGGAUGUACAGUAUGGUGGAGGUAAUGUUGGCGAGACACUCAGACGUUUGCUCUCAAUUCAAACUAGAAAAGACAAACGUCUAGGUGCUGAGAUUGUAACGUGCAAACUAUUACUAACAAUUAUUUCAUUAUCAAUCUAUCGGUCUAUAAAAUGUUAGGAAGCUCUGAAAAAUUUAAUUUGUUUUGUCCAACAGUCCAAAAGAUAUUCAACUAGACUCAGCUAAGAAAAAUACAAUUAACAAAUGAUCACAGUUGUUGCUGAUUAAUUUUCCGACUUAUCAUUGCAGCUCUAAAAUACAGAUGAUCUGUCUCUGUGUAAAUGGAGCCUCAGUUUUGAGUUUUAUUAUUGAAUAAGGUCAUUAUUUCUUGUGCAUGACGGAGGUUUGGACAGCGAUCAACAUGAUUUGACCGUAAAUUCAUCACUAAAAUUGUUUCCCAUCUCUAUAAAAACGUCAAAUAUCACACAGAGCUUUUUUUCAGUGUCCUCAGUGUCUCUGCUGCUGCUGCGUGUUUGUGUUUUGAAGUUUGUGUUACAAAGCUUGUGUGAUGCACUCGCAUCAGUUGGGUUUCCACAACGCACUACAUUUAUUUCUAGAAAUUUUUUGCAAUUUUUAUUCCUGAUUUUAACAGCAGGAAACCCAUCGGCUGUGACGCUGUCUUUUUAAAAUGUUCUCUACUUCCUAAAUGACCAGAUGUCUCAGAUAACCUCUCAAACCUCUUCCUCCACCCCCCCUCCAUCUUUCACCCGCUCUUUAAACCUUCACCUCAGGGAGAGGAGGCCAAAAACAUUCCUGGAGAGUCUGUGACGGAGGAGCAGUUCACAGACGAAGACGGGAAUCUGGUCACCAGAAAAGUGAUCAGAAAGGUGGUGCGCCGUGUGUACAACACGAACGAAAAGAGGGAAAGUGACGGUGAAUCUGUCACGGAAGCGGGAGCUGGUGUUGAUGGUGGUGGCGGUGUUAGUGUUGGUGGUGGUGUGGCGACAGGCGGAGAAGAUGCUGCUUCUUCUUCAGCUGGAGCAGCAGCCGGACCCACAGGGGGGAAGAGCAAGAAGAGGGGGAAGCGAUCCCGGCAGGGUCACAAGGCUGAGAAAUCUGAGCCUGGAGACGCCGCCAGCAAGAAACAAGGGAAGAAGAGUCAGUCAUAACAGCAGAGCUCUCCACUAAACCAGGUCCACCAGUGUCCGCCUGUGACACUACACAACCACACCCUGGGAGGAAAAACGGACUGGAAGCCUCGUCAAUCGGCCAAAAAAAAAGCGCGUCUGAAGCUUUCACACUUACAAACGCAUGGUUUUUACAGCAAGAACAACAACGCAGUUACCUUCUUUGAUUUCGCAUGAGCAUGUCACACCGAAAAAAAAACUCACUCACUCACUGUUGGACGCCGAAAAAGGACACACGUGAACGUGAGCCGGGACUUUCUUAUCUUUGACGAACGAAAGAAAAAAGACGUGUGAUUCACUCUCUCUCUCUCUCUCAGACACUCGCCUUAUAUGGUCUAUUUUUUUCCUCCUGGACCCGCAGUAUUGGGGUUAUACCAUGUGGUUCUUUUUUAAAAAAUGAAAUAUAAUAGUAAAUGGGUGAUUUUUUUUGUUGUAUAUAAAUGACACUGUAUAAAAAUCUACAAAAAAAAACAAAACAAAAAAGAAAUCAGUAGCUUCACGGAUUGUUUAUGCACUGAUUUGAGUUGAAGCUUUGCAGAGUCGGUGCAUUUGUAUUGAGAGGUCGACACUGUUUGAGCAGCCUUGAGUGUGUGUGACCUGACAUGCUCUUCCAAACGAAUAUAUAAAAAGGAACAAAACAAAAAAAAAACGCUGUAUGUAAAUGAGAAUGGAGAAAAAAAUGCUUGAUUUUAAACAAAAAGGACGUUUCUUUAAAUCCAAACAGCUACUUCCGCUCUGUCUGUGAGACAUUCUUCUUCAGAGAAAUAUUUUGCUGCAUGUGACGUCACUUUAUUUUUCAUUUAUUUUUCCUCCUAAUUCAAAAAGCACUGUAAUACAAAUUAGAAAGGGUUUGAUGGUACUUCUUCUGUCUUUGUGAACACUCAUAAUAACCCAAUCAUCUUGUCAUCUAUAACUGUUUUUAUUUUAUUUUGUACACAAAUGAAGACACUCUCCUCCACGCUCGAGCGGCGCAGUUAACAAACGCUUUCAUCGUUACACUUCGGGCAGGUCGCCGGCUCUCCUGAAUGUAACCCGGCACAUCUGUGUGUUAUCUCCAAACUGCUCGCUGCCCUCGUAUGUGUGCGUGUGUGUGUUUAACAUCAAAUAAAAAUGUCUAUCUGUAAACCCGUCAUGCAAACUACAAGUGUAUGUUUAAGCUUUUAGGUCUGCUGUGGUUUUAAAAAAAGGGGGACUGUUUUUAUUUUGGCGGUUUGAUGACUUUUACCUUUAUUUAAUCACAUGAGAACAGAGAAUCUAAUUUUUAGCUCCAUCAUUUAAAUCUAAUCAUUUUUACUAAAUCUCAGUAUUGAUCACACUUUGUUAAAAAUCUGAUUUUCUGUUCCUGUGUCAUUUUAUUUUUCCUUUCCGUUUGUUGUCUUUUUUCAUACAAAUCCACCCCGAGCAUCCAUUGUUGAUGAUAAAUCUGGUACCAACAUGUAUGACGAACCAACAUAGCCUACACUGGAUGAUCCAAGUAAUUAUUUAAGCAGAAAAAUAAAUUGUGUUUAAACUGAAA